rnacentral:rRNA from 1 species
GACGAACGCUGGCGGCGUGCUUAACACAUGCAAGUCGAGCGGUAAGGCCCUUUCGGGGGUACACGAGCGGCGAACGGGUGAGUAACACGUGGGUGACCUGCCCUCAGCUCUGGGAUAAGCCUGGGAAACCGGGUCUAAUACUGGAUAUGACUCCAUGACGCAUGUUGUGGGGUGGAAAGCCUUGUGCGGCUGAGGAUGGGCCCGCGGCCUAUCAGCUUGUUGGUGGGGUGANGGCCUACCAAGGCGACGACGGGUAGCCGGCCUGAGAGGGCGACCGGCCACACUGGGACUGAGACACGGCCCAGACUCCUACGGGAGGCAGCAGUGGGGAAUCUUGCGCAAUGGGCGAAAGCCUGACGCAGCGACGCCGCGUGAGGGAUGACGGCCUCGGUU